AUACUUACCUGGAUGGGGUCAAUGGGUGAUCAUGAAGGCCCAUGGCCUAGGCAAGUGCCCUCCAUUGCACUUCGGAGGGGUGCUUGCCUAAGGUCUACCCAAGUGGUGGAUCCUACAUCAUAAUUUGUUGCUGUGGGGGCCUGCGUUCGCGCGGCCUCUUC
rnacentral:snRNA from 1 species